rnacentral:misc_RNA from 1 species
GGCACUUAUAACUCAUACAGGUGCAAAGUUCUCACCAAUAGAAACGAAUUAAGUUCAAAAAGAAGGUAAUUGCUAUAAAUUGUUGAAGAGUUCCCUCGACUAUCUUUCUUCUCCAUCAUCAGAUCGACUCCAGACCUUUAUUAAAUAGUAGUGCUUUAUAGUACUUAAUGAAAACAUGAUUAAAUUUACUAGUCACCCUUACGAUUUUUGAAAGUUUCCCUCGAUUUCUCUGGG